GUUAUGGAGGAAGUGGUUAAUAGGAGGCCGUGUAAAGACAUCGAGGCUCUUUAUGGCUCAAAAUUGACCAGACAUCUCCUGAUGGCCAGAGUUAAUCUCAUCUUGGCUAUAUGUAGCACUAUACAUGUCCUUCCUGAGCUACUGGCUGCAGGUAUCAUUUCAGUACUAUCUUAUUAUUAUAGACAAGUACAGAUUAUAAAUCUCCAUAACACAUUACUGAAUUAUUUUCUUAAACCCACAGAGUUAUCCGAAUCUCAGGAGAAACGCUCUAGCACUUCUUGUUUGCCUGAUGUCUCCAGCAGUGACGAGUCCAGUGGUCUCCAGCUCAUUGCCAGGAAACUCACAUUAGGAGAAUUCAAGGCCAUACUUUUAAAAGAAGCACAUGCUCUGGUUAGCCCAGAGCUCUUCACAUCCUCUGAGCACCGAUCCUGA
ensembl:lncRNA